rnacentral:misc_RNA from 1 species
UACUGUUGGCGUGCCUUGUUCAUUAAAUUCCUACUCCUAUAUGUGUGAUGUUCACAAAAAUAGGUAGAAAAAGAAAAAAAUCGAUGAUCCCUUUACACAAAUCAUCAUGCGCGAAUGGAAUUAUCUUAGCAUGGUUUACAUUGCUGCAGUCAUCUAUAUCAAAAUACUCUGAGAUUCCUUUCCACAGGUUUCCAUGACUGCAAGUAAUCCCCAACUUCUUCAAGGACCAUCCAUCAUAUUUUUCUCAGUAUUUUUGAAUUCCUAUGUAAGUUUCUACUGCAAGAGCAGAAUGUCUGGCUUUGAUCUUUUCUACUUUGUACAGAAAGGAUUAGUCAUAGAAAGGUUUAAUUUACUUCUUUUGGAAGGUAACCAUAAUAAUGAAGGCAAUAAUACGACCAGCUAAGCCGAAAACAAUGAGGAAGAUUAAACAACGAUACCAAUGACUGAGAUCAUAACCACUUUCCAUAAGCGAACCACAUCUUGUUAUCAGCCAUACACCAUAAUAUCUUUUAGCAUUUGAUAUGACAAAUGCUUCCAAUGCCCAUUUAGUGUAACAUAAGUCAGAUAGUUUUGUAACAAAGCUGCCGUUUUCACCAUGGGUUGCUAUUAAGGUUAAAACAACUGGAAGAAGCACUGACCA